CCUACGAGUGGCAGCAGUAGGGAAUAUUGCUCAAUGGGGGAAACCCUGAAGCAGCAACGCCGCGUGGAGGAUGAAGGUUUUCGGAUUGUAAACUCCUUUUGUUAGAGAAGAUAAUGACGGUAUCUAACGAAUAAGCACCGGCUAACUCAGUGCCAGCAGCCGCGGUAAGACGGAGGGUGCAAGCGUUACUCGGAAUCACUGGGCGUAAAGAGCGCGUAGGCGGGAUAGCAAGUCAGAUGUGAAAUCCUAUGGCUUAACCAUAGAACUGCAUUUGAAACUGUUAUUCUAGAGUAUGGGAGAGGUAGGGGGAAUUCUUGGUGUAGGGGUAAAAUCCGUAGAUAUCAAGAGGAAUACUCAUUGCGAAGGCGAACUGCUAGAACAUAACUGACGCUGAUGCGCGAAAGCGUGGGGAGCAAACAGGAUUAGAUACCCUGGUAGUC
rnacentral:rRNA from 1 species